UACGGAGGGUGCAAGCGUUGUCCGGAUUUAUUGGGCUUAAAGGGUGCGUAGGCGGCCCGUUAAGUCAGUGGUGAAAGCCUCCAGCUCAACUGGAGAACUGCCAUUGAUACUGGCGGGCUUGAGUACAGACGAGGUUGGCGGAAUUGAUUGUGUAGCGGUGAAAUGCAUAGAUACAAGCAAGAACACCGAUUGCGUAGGCAGCUAACUAGGCUGUAACUGACGCUGAGGCACGAAAGCGUGGGGAGCGAACAGG
rnacentral:rRNA from 1 species